CGCUCGUCGACUUGCGCUCUUCAUUCUCGAUGGCAAUCUCGUCGGAAACGGAGGCCUAGUUCGCCCGAACCUUGGUCAACGUGUCCGAUUUUCGAGCCAGCGGCUAAAGGGACAACAGAUGCAUUGAAACUAUGCUUUGCCAACGACCUGGAUCCAACUUGAAAAAGUCGAAACAGUGGAAGGAUUUCGAGAGAGAUUGGAAUAUAUUGAUGCAUCACGUAUUUACCAAGGAAGAGGAAGAGCUCCUCACUAACUGCUGUGGCCCAGGACAGCACGAGGCAGUGUCCACAUGCGUCAAGAGGUCCAACUUUACACGGAAGGAAUACAUGAAG